CGGCACGGGUGAGUAAUACAUCGGAACGUGUCUUCUAGUGGGGGAUAACUGCCCGAAAGGGCAGCUAAUACCGCAUGAGACCUGAGGGUGAAAGCGGGGGAUCGUAAGACCUCGCGCUGGAAGAGCGGCCGAUGCCCGAUUAGCUAGUUGGUGGGGUAAAGGCUCACCAAGGCGACGAUCGGUAGCUGGUCUGAGAGGACGACCAGCCACACUGGGACUGAGACACGGCCCAG
rnacentral:rRNA from 1 species